AUGAGGUUCGUCGCCGCGUACCUGCUCGCCACCCUGGGCGGCAACUCGAGCCCGACCAAGGACGACGUCCGAGCCAUCCUCGGCUCCGUGGGCGCCGAGGUGGAGGAGGGCAAGCUCGACGCCCUCUUCAAGGAGGUGGAGGGCAAGGACCUGGCCGAGCUCCUCGCCGCCGGCAGGGAGAAGUUCGCCUUUGCGCCCAGUGGCGGCGCCGGGGCGGCCAUGGGCGCGUCCCCCGUCGCCGCCGGUGACGCUGCCGAGGAGAAGAAGGAGAAGGCCCAGGAGAAGAAGGAAGAGGAGGAGGAGGAGGAGGACCUCGACAUGUUCAGCCUCUUCGACUGA
rnacentral:rRNA from 1 species